rnacentral:rRNA from 1 species
UACGUAGGGGGCAAGCGUUGUCCGGAAUCAUUGGGCGUAAAGCGCGCGUAGGCGGCCCGAUAAGUCUGCUGUGAAAGUCCAGGGCUCAACCCUGGAAUGCCGGUGGAUACUGUCGAGCUAGAGUCCGGAAGGGGCGAGUGGAAUUCCUGGUGUAGCGGUGAAAUGCGCAGAUAUCAGGAGGAACACCUAUGGCGAAGGCAGCUCGCUGGGACGUUACUGACGCUGAGACGCGAAAGCGUGGGGAGCAAACAGG